AUCUGGUGUUGAGGGCAUUUAGUACAUAGUUUCUUGAAUCUCUCCUAGUAAUCAUAGAGAGAUUCCCCAGGAUGUUGUUUAAUGCCACAUAUUUCCUUCCUCAGACU